CUGAAGCACACUGCCUACUUUGUGAGAAAAUGUUGCCUAAUUUUUCUGUACUCAAACUCUCCAGUUGAGUCUUGGCCCAGUUCCUUUGGUGUUAGGAAUCCUUGUCUUGCUCCUGUGACUGGGCCUUACUUUGAGGGUUUUGUUAGCAGAAGGCGGGGGUUAUGGCAUAAAGAUUUCUAUAAUGCCCAAUCUGGAAAAUGGGCAGAAGAGACAACACAGGAGAGGUGGAGGAGAAAGGGUGGGAGGAAUCUCCUUGUGGACCAGCUCCCAGGCUCUCCUUUGAGAGAUGCGGUUUUCCUAGGUUGCUCCUGCUGGUCUCCGACUCCUGAGCUCAAGUAAUCCUCCUGCCUCAGCCUCCCAAAGUGCUAGGAUUGCAGGUAAAUGAUGUCUUGCUUGGGAAUAGAACCCUUGGAGCGUGUAGAUGGGAUACCACGGUCUUCCAGCUCCUAUUGCAGGGCUGCUUUGUGUGGGAAAGCUGGUGGCAGAUCAUGGAAAGACGGCCCAUCAUAGAACCAAACACACGUGAUCACAGGCAUGACGCAAAACAAUGAAGCUUGGUACCUUCCUCUCGCCACAGGAUGUUUGCAACUGCAGCAGCAGAGAAUGAGGAAAGCAGGAGUGUGAUGGAGUCAAGGAAAAAGAAGAAAGCAGUGUUAAACCGUCACUGCAGUGAUUCCAUUUAUGAAGAUCCUGGUACCUAGUCCAUCACUUACAGAAUCUAUACCACUCAUUGCCCUAGGAACAGUAUCUUGGGGGAAGCUCUGGACAUGAACAAAUGCUUUCAGGUCUCCAGACCCUUUGAUUCUUAAGUGAAUCUUUGAAAUCAUGCCCUAGGACCACAGAAGCUAAUGGAAUUUCUCACAUUUCAUGGAUGAUCAAGAGUAAGCAACAUCUCUCCCAGAUUUCCUGGACAACCAGCAGGAGAAGUGACUUUCAACUAGGAUUCUCCUAAGAUGACCACGUGAAAUACUUCUGAUUAUCUACUUUGAUGAAAAUGGCUUAGCCUGGAGUCUUUGACCAUGAUUAACACCCAUGUCUAUGAAAUCACACCUGCAGGCCUACCUGGGGAGCAGUGGUUAUGAGGAGAGCACGCUUAGCACACCGAUGGGCUGGACCCCUAGUGUAAAGGCUACCACACUCCCAAUGGUGUGCAUGUGUGCACAGGUCAGGUUCUGGGCCACUGUGGGACAUCACGUGGAUGAAGGGCAGAGGUUCAGGGCAUACAGCAAGUAAAAAGCAGAGCUGGGACUCGACUAUUUGGGUUUCCUUGUGUUCCUGGGCUCUGUCUGCUGUCCAGGGAAUCUCCCUGUCUGUUUCCAGAGUUGUCUAGGUUGCCAGGGAAGGCCUGCUCACCUCUGGGUGCCCUCCAAUUCCAGCUUUAUGCAAAGAGGGAUAUGAGGCUUACCCCUGUCUUCACGGGCUCAUGGUUGGCAGCUGUGGCCCUGGUCAAUUGGUGCCCUCCCUUGCCACCCAACACCUCCCAGCCAGCUCAGUGAGAAGCAUAAACGCGUGUCGACUUACGGGUCUUUCUAGCUGAGUCUUCAAUGAAGAGCGAGGAGAUAUCUUCAUCCACACCCACUUCAUUUUUGGCAAUGCAGGUGUAUGCCCCUGUGUCUUCAUACCGAACACUGCUGAUGUGGAGUUCGCUCCCAUUGGCUGCAGACAGGACAGUGCUCAGGGUGGACUGCUCAGCUGGAGACCCACUCACUUUCCUUUAUGGGGCCAUUGAGAGUGUUAGGGCUGCCCAGCCCCUGGGCAGCCAGCAGCCCUGAUUAUACGCCCAGGAAGGGCUGGCACAUCUGAAAUGCACUGAGGGUGAGCUGGACCUGAGUGACAGCUUCUCAUCAUUGCUGUCAGAAAGCCCCAAAAGAUCUGUGUGAGCCCAGAUAACAGGGAAAUUUGGGAGCCAUCUGUUCACUCCUAACCUGUCUGACUUAUAAACAAAUUAUACCUCUCGUUUCCAUUCCUGGAGUCUCAGCUUGAUUUGAAUGGGAAUAUCGCAUAGACGUCUACCAAGGGCAGUUCUUACCUAAAAGGGAGAGCUGUUUGGACAUCUGAGUUGAGACAUCCACGCCGUUUUUCAGCCAAGUGAUUCUGGGCAUGGGAAUGCCCUCAGCAUG
rnacentral:lncRNA from 10 species